rnacentral:sRNA from 2 species
UGUAUCUGAAGUCUGACGAGGAUGAGAACCUCCGGGGGCAAGAGGUUCGACUCGAGCGAAGCGAGAGAACGUUGCGUCAGCAACGGCCCGCAGGGCGAGCCACGCA